rnacentral:rRNA from 1 species
UACGGAGGGGGCUAGCGUUGUUCGGAAUUACUGGGCGUAAAGCGCUCGUAGGCGGCUUUGUAAGUUAGACGUGAAAGCCCGGAGCUUAACUCCGGAACUGCCUUUAAGACUGCAUCGCUAGAAUCGUGGAGAGGUGAGUGGAAUUCCGAGUGUAGAGGUGAAAUUCGUAGAUAUUCGGAAGAACACCAGUGGCGAAGGCGACUCACUGGACACGUAUUGACGCUGAGGUGCGAAAGCGUGGGGAGCAAACAGG